rnacentral:rRNA from 1 species
UACGAAGGGGGCGAGCGUUGUUCGGAAUUACUGGGCGUAAAGGGCGCGUAGGCGGCGAUCCGAGUCAGAUGUGAAAGUCCUGGGCUUAACCUGGGGACUGCAUUUGAUACUGGAUUGCUUGAAUUCGGGAGAGGAUAGCGGAAUUCCCAGUGUAGAGGUGAAAUUCGUAGAUAUUGGGAAGAACACCGGUGGCGAAGGCGGCUCUCUGGGACGGUACUGACGCUGAGACGCGAAAGCGUGGGGAGCGAACAGG